GGAGGGUGGGAGAAGCUAGGGGGGGGGUGCGAAGGCGAGAGAAAGAGAGCGAGGAAAAAUGGGAGGGGCGAGAAAGAAAUAGCUAUUUCUUUCUUGCCCCUCCCAUUUUUUCUCGCUCUUUCUCUCGCCUUCGCAUCCCCCCACUAGCUUCUCCCACCCUUGC
rnacentral:miRNA from 1 species